GUAGCCGGCCUGAGAGGGCGACCGGCCACACUGGGACUGAGACACGGCCCAGACUCCUACGGGAGGCAGCAGUGGGGAAUAUUGCACAAUGGGCGAAAGCCUGAUGCAGCGACGCCGCGUGAGGGAUGACGGCCUUCGGGUUGUAAACCUCUUUCAGCAGGGACGAAGCGAAAGUGACGGUACCUGCAGAAGAAGCGCCGGCCAACUACGUGCCAGCAGCCGCGGUAAUACGUAGGGCGCGAGCGUUGUCCGGAAUUAUUGGGCGUAAAGAGCUCGUAGGCGGUUUGUUGCGUCGGCUGUGAAAACCCGGGGCUCAACCCCGGGCCUGCAGCCGAUACGGGCAAGCUAGAAUUCGGUAGGGGAGACUGGAAUUCCUGGUGUAGCGGUGAAAUGCGCAGAUAUCAGGAGGAACACCGGUGGCGAAGGCGGGUCUCUGGGCCGAUAUUGACGCUGAGGAGCGAAAGCGUGGGGAGCGAACAGGAUUAGAUACCCUGGUAGUCCACGCCGUAAACGUUGGGCGCUAGGUGUGGG
rnacentral:rRNA from 1 species